UGGAAGUAUUGGUAUGUUGGAAGAAUCCACACCAUUUGCUGCCAUAUCCAGACAUUUUAGGUCAAUUGGUGCAUAUGCCACUAUUGUUCCAAGAGGAUCAAUGCAGGUUUCUUGAACCACAAGCAUGUUGUUGUCACAGAUUGUUGACAUUGUGUGGUUGCUGACAUGGCAUGAUGAGGUGGCACAUGGCAUGGUUUGUUGGAAAAAGACAGAGAUUGCAAGGGAAAUCUUUGAAUUUAAACAUCAGUUGGUGGCUGUCAAGAAUCAGGGACUAAAGAUCAUGAUAAGAGCGAAAGUAAUAGUUCCUAAAAUAUUGGGAUAAGAAUUCAAAAGAGGAGAAGAUCAAGGAAGAUCAGGAAAGACAUUGAAGAUGAGCAAAACAAAAUAUAAAAUGAGCACUAGAUGAAGGAAGAAAGGCAUCCAUCAAUCCACAAACUCACAAAUUGUGAUAUCUGUUUAGAAGUAGUCAACUUAGCAAUUUUAGAAGUAGAUGAAGUGGUAGCUUUUUCCAAUCCCCAUUUCUUUUCUUCUGUCGAUUGUUGUAUUUUUUAAUUCAUUGUUCUUAUUUAAGUUUUUGUAACUAGUAAUUUAUUUGAAUAAAUACAUAUUCUAUUA